GAGUUUGAUCGUGGCUCAGGACGAACGCUGGCGGCGUGCUUAACACAUGCAAGUCGAACGAUGAACUGAGAGCUUGCUCUUGGGGAUUAGUGGCGAACGGGUGAGUAACACGUGAGUAACCUGCCCUGGACUCUGGGAUAACCCCGAGAAAUCGGAGCUAAUACCGGAUAGGACCUUGCACCGCAUGGUGUGGGGUGGAAAGUUUUUUCGGUCUGGGAUGGACUCGCGGCCUAUCAGCUUGUUGGUGAGGUAAUGGCUCACCAAGGCGUCGACGGGUAGCCGGCCUGAGAGGGUGACCGGCCACACUGGGACUGAGACACGGCCCAGACUCCUACGGGAGGCAGCAGUGGGGAAUAUUGGACAAUGGGCGCAAGCCUGAUCCAGCCAUGCCGCGUGGAUGAUGAAGGCCCUAGGGUUGUAAAGUCCUUUUAACGGGGAAGAUAAUGACGGUACCCGUAGAAUAAGCCCCGGCUAACUUCGUGCCAGCCGCCGCAGUAAC
rnacentral:rRNA from 1 species